rnacentral:rRNA from 1 species
GAUGAACGCUGGCGGCGUGCUUAACACAUGCAAGUCGAACGAAGCACUUUAUUUGAUUUCCUUCGGGACUGAUUAUUUUGUGACUGAGUGGCGGACGGGUGAGUAACGCGUGGGUAACCUGCCUUGUACAGGGGGAUAACAGUUGGAAACGGCUGCUAAUACCGCAUAAGCGCACGGCAUCGCAUGAUGCAGUGUGAAAAACUCCGGUGGUAUAAGAUGGACCCGCGUUGGAUUAGCUAGUUGGUGAGGUAACGGCCCACCAAGGCGACGAUCCAUAGCCGACCUGAGAGGGUGACCGGCCACAUUGGGACUGAGACACGGCCCAAACUCCUACGGGAGGCAGCAGUGGGGAAUAUUGCACAAUGGGCGAAAGCCUGAUGCAGCGACGCCGCGUGAGCGAAGAAGUAUUUCGGUAUGUAAAGCUCUAUCAGCAGGGAAGAUAAUGGCGGUACCUGACUAAGAAGCACCGGCUAAAUACGUG